rnacentral:rRNA from 1 species
CUCUGUGACUCCUACGGGAGGCAGCAGUGGGAAUAUUGCACAAUGGGGGAAACCCUGAUGCAGCCAUGCCGCGUGUGUGAAGAAGGCCUUCGGGUUGUAAAGCACUUUCAGUAGGGAGGAAGGUAGUGUAGUUAACACCUGCAUUAUUUGACGUUACCUACAGAAGAAGCACCGGCUAACUCCGUGCCAGCAGCCGCGGUAAUACGGAGGGUGCGAGCGUUAAUCGGAAUUACUGGGCGUAAAGCGCAUGCAGGUGGUUUGUUAAGUCAGAUGUGAAAGCCCGGGGCUCAACCUCGGAACUGCAUUUGAAACUGGCAGACUAGAGUACUGUAGAGGGGGUAGAAUUUCAGGUGUAGCGGUGAAAUGCGUAGAGAUCUGAAGGAAUACCGGUGGCGAAGGCGGCCCCCUGGACAGAUACUGACACUCAGAUGCGAAAGCGUGGGGAGCAAACAGGAUUAGAUACCCUGGUAG